UGUCAGGUUAAUUCCGGUAACGAACGAGACUUAAACCUAUUAAUUAGUUGCAUUUGAAAUGGAAAUGCAGAUAAUCCUAUCAUUAUUAGAAAUAAUAAUACUACUUAAAGGGACACGUAUCAAUCUCUUUUUUAUACAGUAGAUAAUAAUUUGUGUUAUUUUUGAAUAAUAAAAAUUAUAUAGUGUAUCAAAAAGAAAAGAUAAAGGAAGCGUUAAGCAAUAACAGGUCUGUGAUGCCCUUAGACAUCUUGGGCUGCACGCGCGCUACAAUGAAAAUACUAAAGAGUAGUACCUUACUAGUGGGAUUUUUAUUGCAUUAUAUUGUAUAAUGGAGUAAAAAGAAACAGUAGUAGUACAAAUUUGAAAAAAGGAGUAAAACUCAAAAAAUUAUGCAUGACAGGGAUUAAUGAUUGGAAUUAUUUGUUAUGAACGAGGAAUUCCUUGUAAAAUUGUGUCAUUAACA
rnacentral:rRNA from 1 species